GGCGCCAUAGCCAAGUGGUUACGGCGACAGAUUAGAAUUGAAGGUCCAAACAUGAACUGAACCGAAACGAUCUGUUCCUCUUUGAGGGCGCAAGUUCGAAUCUUGCUGGCGUCG